AAGAUAGUAACAUCCAUAAAAGAAAAAGAUACCCAAGAAUGGAAAAAUGAAUUACUUGCAAGAGACUCCCUCACCCUAUACAGAAGAUACAAACCUGACAUCAAGGAAACUGACCUCUAUGAAAAUGACGAGGCCAGCAAGAUUUUAAUGCGCUGUCGCAGCAACACCCUCAAAUUAAACAACAGAAACAGGCACACCAACGGGAACACACUGUGCACACAAUGCAACACUAACCAAGACAAAACGCUAGAACACUUCCUACUACACUGUGAUGCAUAGGCUACAGAAACAUCAGACAACAACUACCCUUCCUUGAAGUGAACACAACAACUGAAGAAGAAAAACUGGCUAAUCUUUUACUUUUUACAGACAACCGAAGUGUCACUGAGAAAAAACAAACUAUACUACAAAUGUGGAAACAGCGAGCACAACAAUCAUAAGACUCACCAAAGUAACAACAAAGACAAUACCAAAGAAAAUUACUAAAGUGGGGUCCAAGGCCUAGUGGAGUGUUAUUUGGGUUCCGCAGGGAGUUGCUGGAGCCAGUGAAGAGUGCGCCAGCUGAUCAACUACCUGUCAACCACCAACCGCCUGCUCCGCCAAUACAUGUUCAAGCAUAUGGGACACAUCAUCGCAAGGACAGCACUGGUGGGCCACCAGUGCUAGGUGCUUGUUGCAGCAGAGCAUGAGGAACUGUUGUCCAUGAACCACGACCUCAAGCGGAAGUUAAAGGCUGACCGAACGAAGAUAACCAGACUCGGGGAGGAGAUGCAGAUACUGUACGGCUACAGGAGGAGAACCGAGCCCUGGCACGUUGUAUACAAGAGGAGCACGAGGCUGUUGUCCAAAUGAGGCUCUGGUCACAACAGGCCCAGUGGCAUGACCUUUGACCUGACACCCCUAUGGCACCUGUCUGCUAGUGCCCCAACACCCACAGCAUCCCUACCCUAAGGCCCUGGGCACUGGCUGGUCUUGUCACAUGGUUCAAGAGUGCCUGCCAACCUACCCUGUGGCACCUAAGCUUCAAGAGUGCUAGCCUAACUCUCCUGGGGUACUACUGUUGGCACU